UACGUAGGGACCGAGCGUUGUCCGGAUUCAUUGGGCGUAAAGAGCUCGUAGGCGGCUGCUCAAGUCGAAUGUGAAAACUCGAGGCUCAACCUCGAGCCUGCAUUCGAUACUGGGCGGCUAGAGUCUGGUAGGGGGAUCUGGAAUUCCUGGUGUAGCGGUGGAAUGCGCAGAUAUCAGGAAGAAUAUCCGUGGCGAAGGCGGCUCUCUGGGACGGUACUGACGCUGAGACGCGAAAGCGUGGGGAGCGAACAGG
rnacentral:rRNA from 1 species